rnacentral:pre_miRNA from 1 species
GUAUUACCAGGAGUUCCCUGCAAGCACUUUACGAAGAACCUUUCCAAGGGCUUAUGUGAAGUGUUUGGGGGAACUCUCGGUGUGAC